rnacentral:rRNA from 1 species
AUGGACCCGUGGCUGCCGCACGGGACAUUAGAGACUUCUCGUCGGCCUCGAUCUGGUUCAGAUGGCCAGCGCAUCAUGGGGAUCGCCGCGGCAGGUGCGCUGCUCGACUGCGACCCAGGAAGGCGGACUGAUCUGCGCUGGGAGGUAGGGGACGGCAUCGACCGUCGUCCAGCCGCAGCAGUCGGACCCGUCGCCACCACUGCCGCCACAGCUCGAGGGCGUGAUCUGGAAUGGCAGUGGGGGCUACGGGCUGGUGGCUGUGGCGGUGGGAAAGAUGGGGAGGGGGCGACGCAUAUAGAGGGGAGAAGAGAGGGCAUCGAUGGAUCGACACAGGUAAGGCCUGUUCUGCGGCGGCGGCGGCAUGGAGCGCGCGGAGGAAGAUUGGUGGAAUGGUGGCGGCUGAGGGGACGGGAGGAUAGAAUGGGGAAUUAG